rnacentral:rRNA from 1 species
GUCGGGAAUAUUGCGCAAUGGAGGAAACUCUGACGCAGUGACGCCGCGUAUAGGAAGAAGGUUUUCGGAUUGUAAACUAUUGUCGUUAGGGAAGAUACAAGACAGUACCUAAGGAGGAAGCCCCGGCUAACUAUGUGCCAGCAGCCGCGGUAAUACAUAGGGGGCAAGCGUUAUCCGGAAUUAUUGGGUGUAAAGGGUGCGUAGACGGAGGAACAAGUUGGUUGUGAAAUCCCUCGGCUUAACUGAGGAACUGCAACCAAAACUACUUCCCUUGAGUGUCGGAGAGGAAAGUGGAAUUCCUAGUGUAGCGGUGAAAUGCGUAGAUAUUAGGAGGAACACCAGUGGCGAAGGCGACUUUCUGGACGAUAACUGACGUUGAGGCACGAAAGUGUGGGGAGCAAACAGGAUUAGAUACCCUAGUAGUCC